GUUGAAACAUCGGUUCACGUACACUCACCGAAGUUAAGCAACGUCGAGCCUAGCCAGUACCAAAAUGGGCGACCGCUUGGGAAUACCGGUUGCUGAA